UGAAAUAAUUUUUAAAAUAAAAAAAAUAUUUUAGUACUUAAAAGGAAAAAUAAAUGAAAAAAAAGAAAUUUUUAAUUUUUGUUCCUUGUGUAUCAUGAUUCUUAAAUUUAUAAAAAUAUUUUUAAUUCUCGAAAAAUUAGGAUCUAACUUAAAAUGUGAUUUUUGUUUUAACAAAAUAAAAUAAUUUGAGUUAGAAAUAAAAAAUUUCCAACUUAUUGUAUAUCUAGUUUUUUUAGAAAGAAAUAAAAUUUCUUUAAUAGUUUUAAUUAAUCUAUUAAAAAAUUUUUUAAGGGACUAGCUUUAAAAAAGAAUAUAAAUUUGGGUUUUUUUAUAUUAAAAAGAAUUAAAUUACCUUAAAAACUUAAAAAUUUUAACUAAUUAAAAAAAAUUUUAUAAUUAGAUAUUUAGUGUUAUAUAAAAAAAAUAUAAAUAAAUUAAUAAAUAAAAAUUUUAAAAAAUAAGUAAUUAAGGAAAUAAAUCAAUAGUAACUCGGCAAAUGUUUUUUUCGAAUGUUUAACAAAAACAUUGUUUCUUGAUUUUAUAAGAAAUAAGACCUGCUCGGUGAAAUUUUAACAGCCAUUUUUUGCUAAGGUAGCAUAAUAAUUUGUCUUUUAAUUUAAGGCUUGAAUGAAUGGUUAAACGAAAAAAAAACUUUCUUUUUUUUUAAAAAAUUAAUUUAACUUUUAAGUUAAAAGGCUUAAAUUUUUUUGGAAGACGAUAAGACCCUAUAGAACUUAAUUAUUUUUUAAUUUUAUUAAAAAAGGAAUAAAUUUUGCUGGGGAAGCAAAGAAAGAAAAAUUUUCUUUUUUUUAAACAAAAUUUUUGAUUAAUUGAUCCUUUUUAAGAAAAAAGAAUAAGUUACCUUAGGGAUAACAGAGUUAAAUUUUUUGAGAGGUCAAAUCGAAAAAAAAUAUUACUACCUCGAUGUUGAAUUAAGGUAAAUUUUAAUAGAAGAUAAUUAAAUAAAAGGUCUGUUCGACCUAGUUUCCUUACAUGAUUUGAGUUAAGACCGGCGUAAGCCAGGUUGGUUUAUAUCUCCAAACUUAAAGUUUUUAUAGUACGAAAGGACCUAAAAACUUAAUUUUA
rnacentral:rRNA from 1 species